UACGGGGGGGGCAAGCGUUGUUCGGAAUUACUGGGCGUAAAGGGCUCGUAGGCGGCCAACUAAGUCGGAUGUGAAAUCCCCAGGCUUAACCUGGGAACUGCAUCCGAUACUGGAUGGCUUGAAUCCGGGAGAGGGAUGCAGAAUUCCAGGUGUAGCGGUGAAAUGCGUAGAUAUCUGGAGGAACACCGGUGGCGAAGGCGGCUCUCUGGAACGCAACUGACGCUGAGACGCGAAAGCGUGGGGAGCAAACAGG
rnacentral:rRNA from 1 species